GGGUUGUGAGGUUAAGCGACUAAGCGUACACGGUGGAUGCCCUGGCAGUCAGAGGCGAUGAAGGACGUGCUAAUCUGCGAUAAGCGUCGGUAAGGUGAUAUGAACCGUUAUAACCGGCGAUUUCCGAAUGGGGAAACCCAGUGUGAUUCGUCACACUAUCAUUAACUGAAUCCAUAGGUUAAUGAGGCGAACCGGGGGAACUGAAACAUCUAAGUACCCCGAGGAAAAGAAAUCAACCGAGAUUCCCCCAGUAGCGGCGAGCGAACGGGGAGCAGCCCAGAGCCUGAAUCAGUGUGUGUGUUAGUGGAAGCGUCUGGAAAGGCGCGCGAUACAGGGUGACAGCCCCGUACACAAAAAUGCACAUGCUGUGAGCUCGAUGAGUAGGGCGGGACACGUGGUAUCCUGUCUGAAUAUGGGGGGACCAUCCUCCAAGGCUAAAUACUCCUGACUGACCGAUAGUGAACCAGUACCGUGAGGGAAAGGCGAAAAGAACCCCGGCGAGGGGAGUGAAAAAGAACCUGAAACCGUGUACGUACAAGCAGUGGGAGCACGCUUCGGCGUGUGACUGCGUACCUUUUGUAUAAUGGGUCAGCGACUUAUAUUCUGUAGCAAGGUUAACCGAAUAGGGGAGCCGAAGGGAAACCGAGUCUUAACUGGGCGUUAAGUUGCAGGGUAUAGACCCGAAACCCGGUGAUCUAGCCAUGGGCAGGUUGAAGGUUGGGUAACACUAACUGGAGGACCGAACCGACUAAUGUUGAAAAAUUAGCGGAUGACUUGUGGCUGGGGGUGAAAGGCCAAUCAAACCGGGAGAUAGCUGGUUCUCCCCGAAAGCUAUUUAGGUAGCGCCUCGUGAAUUCAUCUCCGGGGGUAGAGCACUGUUUCGGCAAGGGGGUCAUCCCGACUUACCAACCCGAUGCAAACUGCGAAUACCGGAGAAUGUUAUCACGGGAGACACACGGCGGGUGCUAACGUCCGUCGUGAAGAGGGAAACAACCCAGACCGCCAGCUAAGGUCCCAAAGUCAUGGUUAAGUGGGAAACGAUGUGGGAAGGCCCAGACAGCCAGGAUGUUGGCUUAGAAGCAGCCAUCAUUUAAAGAAAGCGUAAUAGCUCACUGGUCGAGUCGGCCUGCGCGGAAGAUGUAACGGGGCUAAACCAUGCACCGAAGCUGCGGCAGCGACGCUGAUGCGUUGUUGGGUAGGGGAGCGUUCUGUAAGCCUGCGAAGGUGUGCUGUGAGGCAUGCUGGAGGUAUCAGAAGUGCGAAUGCUGACAUAAGUAACGAUAAAGCGGGUGAAAAGCCCGCUCGCCGGAAGACCAAGGGUUCCUGUCCAACGUUAAUCGGGGCAGGGUGAGUCGACCCCUAAGGCGAGGCCGAAAGGCGUAGUCGAUGGGAAACAGGUUAAUAUUCCUGUACUUGGUGUUACUGCGAAGGGGGGACGGAGAAGGCUAUGUUGGCCGGGCGACGGUUGUCCCGGUUUAAGCGUGUAGGCUGGUUUUCCAGGCAAAUCCGGAAAAUCAAGGCUGAGGCGUGAUGACGAGGCACUACGGUGCUGAAGCAACAAAUGCCCUGCUUCCAGGAAAAGCCUCUAAGCAUCAGGUAACAUCAAAUCGUACCCCAAACCGACACAGGUGGUCAGGUAGAGAAUACCAAGGCGCUUGAGAGAACUCGGGUGAAGGAACUAGGCAAAAUGGUGCCGUAACUUCGGGAGAAGGCACGCUGAUAUGUAGGUGAAGUCCCUCGCGGAUGGAGCUGAAAUCAGUCGAAGAUACCAGCUGGCUGCAACUGUUUAUUAAAAACACAGCACUGUGCAAACACGAAAGUGGACGUAUACGGUGUGACGCCUGCCCGGUGCCGGAAGGUUAAUUGAUGGGGUCAGCGCAAGCGAAGCUCUUGAUCGAAGCCCCGGUAAACGGCGGCCGUAACUAUAACGGUCCUAAGGUAGCGAAAUUCCUUGUCGGGUAAGUUCCGACCUGCACGAAUGGCGUAAUGAUGGCCAGGCUGUCUCCACCCGAGACUCAGUGAAAUUGAACUCGCUGUGAAGAUGCAGUGUACCCGCGGCAAGACGGAAAGACCCCGUGAACCUUUACUAUAGCUUGACACUGAACAUUGAGCCUUGAUGUGUAGGAUAGGUGGGAGGCUUGGAAGUGUGGACGCCAGUCUGCAUGGAGCCGACCUUGAAAUACCACCCUUUAAUGUUUGAUGUUCUAACGUUGACCCGUAAUCCGGGUUGCGGACAGUGUCUGGUGGGUAGUUUGACUGGGGCGGUCUCCUCCUAAAGAGUAACGGAGGAGCACGAAGGUUGGCUAAUCCUGGUCGGACAUCAGGAGGUUAGUGCAAUGGCAUAAGCCAGCUUGACUGCGAGCGUGACGGCGCGAGCAGGUGCGAAAGCAGGUCAUAGUGAUCCGGUGGUUCUGAAUGGAAGGGCCAUCGCUCAACGGAUAAAAGGUACUCCGGGGAUAACAGGCUGAUACCGCCCAAGAGUUCAUAUCGACGGCGGUGUUUGGCACCUCGAUGUCGGCUCAUCACAUCCUGGGGCUGAAGUAGGUCCCAAGGGUAUGGCUGUUCGCCAUUUAAAGUGGUACGCGAGCUGGGUUUAGAACGUCGUGAGACAGUUCGGUCCCUAUCUGCCGUGGGCGCUGGAGAACUGAGGGGGGCUGCUCCUAGUACGAGAGGACCGGAGUGGACGCAUCACUGGUGUUCGGGUUGUCAUGCCAAUGGCACUGCCCGGUAGCUAAAUGCGGAAGAGAUAAGUGCUGAAAGCAUCUAAGCACGAAACUUGCCCCGAGAUGAGUUCUCCCUGACUCCUUGAGAGUCCUGAAGGAACGUUGAAGACGACGACGUUGAUAGGCCGGGUGUGUAAGCGCAGCGAUGCGUUGAGCUAACCGGUACUAAUGAACCGUGAGGCUUAACCUUACAACGCCGAAG
rnacentral:rRNA from 1 species